CCAGAAUAACCCUGGGCAGGGGGGAGUGCCUGCCCUGGGGGGCUGGGCCGGGGGCACAGAUGAGUGUGUCCUUCUUCACUGCCCAACUGGGCUGGCCAAUCAGCAGCUCCCAAGGCUGCUCUUGCCUUUCAAGGCAAGUAUCUGGGGCCGAGCUCACGCCACCUGCCAGCUGGGGCCCCGGGCUGACUCCGCCUGACUUUCUCCCGGCCCUCAGUUUCCCCUCAUCUGCAAGGAAGUCGCUGGCGGUGGGGUCUCUUUGCUGCUGUCUCUCAGGGGUCCUGAGAGGUGCCUGAGGGCUGACCCUGGGGAGGAGUGAUGAGGUGGGGUUGGCCGAGCAUGGGGGGCUGAGGGAUGCCCACCCUGCGUGUCUCCCAGCAGCUGCCUGAGUUCUUGGGGGGCCCUCACGUGAUCUCACUUAAGCAGUGCCCCCUCAGGCACACCAAUGGGUGCUUCCUUCAAGCCCUUGCCUGGGUUUGCCAUGUCUGGUGGGCACCCCUGCUCCUGGGGCUGCAGGCCCAGAAAAAGGGAGGCUCUGCGGGGUGGAGGAGGGCGGGGGCUUGGAGGCGAGCGUGGAGGCUCAGCCUUGAUGCUGGAGGAAUGAAGGCCAGGGUGGGUCCGGAUGGCCUCUGUUUCUCCAUUUACAAAGUGGAAGGGACACCUUCCCAGGGGAGACCAGUGUUAGCUUUCGCAGCUGUGAAGACCCGGGGAUUAUUGAUGGGGGCUUUGGAGCAGGAGGCACUGAAAUUUCCCAUUAACCUGGGAGGUGAUGGUGCCUCGCUUGAAAGUGGGUAACCAAGGUCUACAGGGUGGGCCCACUGGGCUGCUGUGAUUGGGGUGGCAAAGGCAUUGGCCCAGUACCACCCGCCUGUGCAGACCCAUGCCCAUGCCAGUGGGGGGCAGAUGCAGGAGGGUCUUCCUUACAGGGUCUCUGGGAUUUAGGUGCACCCCGGUGUCUGCUCUGUGUCAGCUCUGCUCGGCCCAUGACACCCUCACACUCAACAUGCCUCCUUACCAGGAGCGGCACGCUCCCCAGCAUUAGAUUAAAAUUUAGGGUGUCCAAUUUAGGAAAGGGGAGGCAGAACCAGCGUGCAAAGUUGGGCUCCUUGCCCCCCCUCCCCGGUGAGUGGAAAGGCAGGAGCAGAUGCCCCGGUGGGUGGCCUGUGGCCACCAGGGGACCCGAGGGACCCUGGGGUGGAAGAAAUGACUUUCCUUGCAUGGCAUCUGUGCUGUCAGCCUCGUGGCUUGACAGGAGGCCAGACCAGGGGACUGGGGGCCUCCGAGCCUCCUCCAUCUCCCUGAAAAGCUCAUGUGGUCAUUCCCAACUCAUUUUGGCUAAUAUGGUUGUCGGCAAAGGGACAGGACAGCUGGCCCCAGCCCUGCUAAUUAUAGCCGCUUGAGAAUUUGAACAGAUACUGGGUCCACCAUGUCAUGGCUUUUCUUGCAGCAAACUAAUCCUUUAACCUUUCCUCACGAACACCAGCCCCCCCCGGAGGUCAGCACGGGACCCCCAGCCCAAGUCUUACCUUUGAUGAACGUGCUCAGUGGUUCUGCUGUAGUCGCGUCAACAGGAACCUUGCUUCCCUCUGGAAAGUCGCAGGGGAAACGGGGUUAGGAUGGCCUGGGCUUGGGACCUGGGGGUGUCCCAGCAGUGCCAGAGCCCCUUCCAGACGCCCCCUGCCUUCCUCGCCAUCCCUUGCGCUGCUCCCCACUUGGGUCUCUGUGCUGGCUCUUGAGUGCGCUGCACGCACUCAGCCUUAGCACUUUCAGCCUUAGCACAGCCUGGGAGGCGCUCACUUUCAUCGGCCCCAUUUUUCAGAGGAGGAAACCGAGGCUCAGGGACUGAAGUCACCCCAUGGCACUGAGGUUAUCAGUGCAUCUGCCCAGGCCGGUGGCUUCAGGGCCACCGCCGAGUUUCGUCCUGCCCUUGGCGUCAGUCUGCCCUGCUGCUCCUCAUUCCACCCAUUGGGGCUGCCCCCCACACACUAGGGAUGCUGGCGGGCAGGGGGCCUUAGGUAGGUCCCGAGUGGGUGGGCUGCGCCUGGCCGUGGCCCUGGUGCGUGCUCUCUCCUCCCUUCCCAGGUGGCGUGGAGGGGAGAGGCGCUUUCUCCCAGGAAGGGACCAAGGUCCGGCCCGGGAUCCAGAAAAAGACUGGUGCUCACUGCCCCCCCGAUGGGCAGUGAGUCGUGGCUCCUGGCAGAGGCGUGGUGCCCAGGAUGGUGGGCACUUGUAUGCGGUGGCACAGUGGGACAGAAAGCCUGGACCUGCACUCCUCAUCCCAUGCCCGUUCCAGCUUCAGCCAGCUGGCAGCAUUGCCAGGGCCUGGGAAGUGGGCGCUGAGGCUUACUGAG